rnacentral:rRNA from 1 species
AAUAGAUACCCCGGUAGUCCAUGCCGUAAACGUUGGGCACUAGGUGUGGGGUCCAUUCCACGGAUUCCGUGCCGCAGCAAACGCAUUAAGUGCCCCGCCUGGGGAGUACGGCCGCAAGGCUAAAACUCAAAGAAAUUGACGGGGGCCCGCACAAGCGGCGGAGCAUGCGGAUUAAUUCGAUGCAACGCGAAGAACCUUACCAAGGCUUGACAUACACCGGAAACGUGCAGAGAUGUGCGCCCCGCAAGGUCGGUGUACAGGUGGUGCAUGGUUGUCGUCAGCUCGUGUCGUGAGAUGUUGGGUUAAGUCCCGCAACGAGCGCAACCCUCGUCCCAUGUUGCCAGCGGGUUAUGCCGGGGACUCAUGGGAGACUGCCGGGGUCAACUCGGAGGAAGGUGGGGAUGACGUCAAAUCAUCAUGCCCCUUAUGUCUUGGGCUUCACGCAUGCUACAAUGGCCGGUACAAAGGGCUGCGAAACCGCGAGGUGGAGCGAAUCCCAAAAAGCCGGUCUCAGUUCGGAUUGGGGUCUGCAACUCGACCCC